rnacentral:lncRNA from 1 species
AAUUGGGGAGGCGGCAUCCGGGGACAGCGCGGACACCAUGGGCUGCUGUUCCGGCCGCUGCACGCUCAUCUUCCUCUGCACUUUCCAGCUGCUCGUGGGCUUCGUCUGUGCCUGCUACGUGGUCCGCGUUCUCACCGAGGAGGAGGACAGCUGUAUGUGCGGCCGCCGGGCUCCCACAACAGCCUCUUCGCGACCUGGCAUGGAUGCUCCAGGCAACGGGGGAGGAAGGGGAAGCGGAGGUGGUGACUCUGCGUUCUCCUGGCCUGUCGUUGGCAAAGCCUGAGACCUCGCCUCUUAGAGGGAUCCCCAUGCCCUCAGGGGUCCUUGGCUGAGCAGAGGGGUGGAUGGCCCAGCGCCCUGAGAACAGAUGAGGAGGGGCCCCGGGCUGUGGACACCAGGGGUCAGCUCACACCCCAGCCCCCAGGUCCAAGGGCUCCUAUGCUGCAGGGCUGGGGCCCUCUGCCUCCUUGCAUCUGAGAACCAGGCCCUACUGGCCAUGAUGUCCCCAUCGGGCCCCCAGUGCCAGCUGGACCCAUCUGAGCAGCAUUUUUGCUUCCUGCUUACAGAGGGGGGCCCCCUUGACCUUGGUCUGAUUGCCGACUUCAACGCUCCGGCGCUCUUGCCAGCCCUGACACCCCUGGCUCUGAUGUGGUUUCCCGGGAAGACUCCGCAGAGUUGA